rnacentral:lncRNA from 1 species
CCGAAAAAAAACCUGAGGAAAUUUCCAGGGAAACAAAACUAUCAGAAGAGAAGCUAGGUCCACCUAGACUUUUCGAUAUUCCUCCAUUGCCCCCAAUCCCUUUUCUGCCCCCGAUAUCAAUCCUUCCUCCGAACCCGCUCCAGCCGCCUUCUCCGGUUUUGCCUCCGAACCCCUUACAGCCGCCGCCGCUCUUUCCACCGAACCCCUUACAGCCGCCGCCAUCUCCAUUGAUUCCUUUGCCACCAGUUCCAGGACUAACUCCACCGCCGCCGCUCUUUCCACCGAACCCCUUACAGCCGCCGCCGCUCUUUCCACCAAACCCUCUGCUGCCACCGCCAUCUCCAUUGAUUCCUUUGCCACCAGUUCCAGGACUAACUCCACCGC